GACGAACGCUGGCGGCAUGCCUAAUACAUGCAAGUCGAGCGAACAGAUGAAGUGCUUGCACUUCUGACGUUAGCGGCGAACGGGUGAGUAACACGUAAGGAAUCUACCUAUAAGCGGGGGAUAACAUUCGGAAACGGGUGCUAAUACCGCAUAAUAUCUUCUUCCGCAUGGAAGAAGAUUGAAAGACGGCUCUGCUGUCACUUAUAGAUGACCUUGCGGUGCAUUAGUUAGUUGGUGGGGUAAUGGCCUACCAAGACGAUGAUGCAUAGCCGACCUGAGAGGGGGAGCGGGCACAUUGGGACUGAGACACGGCCCAAACUCCUACGGGAGGCAGCAGUAGGGAAUCUUCUGAAAUGGGCGAAAGCCUGACGGAGCAAUGCCGCGUGAGUGAAGAAGGCCUUCGGGUAGUAAAACUCUGUUAUAAGAGAAGAACAAAUUGUAGAGUAACUGCUACAGUCUUGACGGUAUCUUAUCAGAAAGCCACGGCUAACUACGUGCCAGCCGCCGCCGUAA
rnacentral:rRNA from 1 species